rnacentral:lncRNA from 1 species
ACAGAGGUUGUGCACAGACUUCAGACGGACAGAAACUGACUGAAGACUAAUUGACUGAUUGCAAAGCAACAGAGAAACAAUCCUUGGACCCGUGUAGACUGACACCAUGGAUGAAGCCGUAUGGUGGUUUCCUCAUGCCUCUCCGGAAGCUCUGCAGUAGGAUCUGUGUUAGUGUCUCCAUCUGGACACUCCCACAGAUGGCUUCCCACCUCUACUUAGUCUUCCUGUCCAGUUUGGCAGUUUCAUCCAAACUGGGUUUGGAGGAUGUUUUCUUCAGCCCCCAGGACCAGACAGUCAGAGAAGGAAAGGGAGUUUUCUUGCAGUGUGUGUCAGGGGAAAGUUCACCUCCUGCAAGCAUCACCUGGCUCAAAGAUGGGACACUGGUCACAAGAGGGAGACACAUCCAGGGUGAAUAUGGAGGUGGUAACCAGAAGAAGGCUUCAGGCACUCUGCAUCUUCUCAACGUAACAUUAGAGGACGAAGGGAUUUACAUUUGUGUCACACACAAUCCUUCACUGAACAUCAGCAAGAAGAGCAAGCCGGCUAAACUAACUGUGCAGGGUCAGUCCAUGUUUUUGUUUAUUACUCUUAUAUUUGUCAAUUCAUAACGGCAAGUCAUCAUUUUAUGUCUGAUUCAUCAAGAAUAAACACCAAAUGUCACAAAAC